rnacentral:misc_RNA from 1 species
UGAAAGUUGGGCUCGGGCGGAAGCAGCGUCCUGGACUGCUUUCAGAAUCUCCUGUCUCAGAAAAUGAGCCUUUUUCCUGAUUAUGUGCUGAUUCACCAGGCUCUCUAUGCUCAAACUCAUCGUUUGAGCCAGAAGAUCGUUAAUGCCACCCAAGGUGGCCUGUUCUGGUCCUCCUGGAGGCAUAUGGUAGCACCCAGAUCUUUGGCCAAGCUCGGAUUCUCCCGAACGGAUCGAUUCUUCUCCAGAGUAUGAAUGAGGACUUGGGUACCACGAGAAAGGGUCCUCACGGUAGGUUGGGAAGACCCAACUUCAGCACUUGAAGGAACAGGUGGAGGUGGUGGCUCUUCUUGUCGAGGGAGAGAAGGAGCUACCUCUACUUCUGGGACCAGUUGUCCCGAAGGUCGGGACGAGUCUCCCGACACUUCUCCCGAAUCCCGCCUUGGCGUCUGUGAUGCCGCGGCGAUCUUCAUUCCUCGUACCUUCCGGGAGACCUCUCUUUUCCGCUUGUGACUCUCCUUUGCGCUUUCGCCUCUAGCCAUUUCUGCACAGAAAAACAGUUAGUGAGAUUACCUAAAUCAGGAGACUAAAGAUUUAGGUUAUACCGGUCCCCGGUCCGAGGUCAGAGAACUGCAGUUCAUAGACUUCAUUGGUGAUCAUCCGCAUUAGCCACCAUCUCAGUUCGGCCAUAACAGCGUAUAAGCACGAAUACUUGUGAGUGGCCGCCUGAUCCUUCAAUUCCAUUACCAUGGCACCCUCGUCCCUACUCAGGGCGACCUUCUUUGGAAUUGAUGGAGCCAGAUAUUGCCAGCUACGUGGGAAACCUUCAAAACCGUUCGGAAUCUUGUUCCUCAACAUAAAGAAGCGAUUCUUCCCAUUCUUCAGUGAAAAGGGAAGAUCGGUAAAAAGCACACAAUGCAGUUUGGCUUGGAAGAACCAAUACUCGUUGUCCUUUCGACGAAUAAGCCUACGCAGUUCAGCAAAAAACCUUCGCUGUAUGCUCGAGCUUCUUAGCCCGGCAUAAGCCUCUAAAAGCCACCAGAAUUCGAAUGUACUUGGGCUAUACAUACGUGGUGGAACUUCAGAACGUCCUUGAAGAAGUCGUUAAGGGGAAACCGAAGCCCGGCUUUUAAUUGCUCCUCAUACACCAUGAUCGCAUCAUUUUUCAAAGAAGUGAUCGGCUCGGAG